rnacentral:rRNA from 1 species
AAGAAAUUAACAAAGAUUUCCUUAGUAACGGCGAGUGAAAGGGAAUGAGUUCAGCACCGAAUCCCUUAGCCGAUGGUUAAGGGAGCUGUGGUGUGAAGGAGAGUCAAUCCAAUCAGGUUCUAUAUCUCAGAAGAUCCCUUGAAUGGGGCCCCAAAGCAGGUGCGAGGCCUGUAACGAGGUGGAGCCUGGUGGUAUGAACCUCCAUAGAGUCGGGUUACUUGAGAGUGUAGCCCUAAGUGGAAGGUAAACCCCUUCUAAAGCUAAAUAUGACCACGAGGCCGAUAGCGAACAAGUACUGCGAGGGAAAGUUGAAAAGAACUUUGAAGAGAGAGUUCAAAAGGGCGUGAAACCGCUUAGAAUAAAACGGACGGAGCUGUAUAAGGCCUUUGGGAAUCAGUCAUGCGAUUUUGCGAAGGUAUUCUGGUUAGAGCGAAAAGUCUGACUGGGGUAUUAGUAGUAGCAAUCGUUUGGUGCAUUUCCUGAGGGUGAGCACUGCGACCAGUACGGAAGGCCAGUGAAGCGAUUGGAUUGAGGUCGAGUCCCGCAAGGGACUUGCUACCAGUCCUUUCGCCCAUAGUCGCUGGACCGCCAAUAAGUACUGAGUGCCGUUAAAGUGUACUGGCGAAAGCGCUCAUCGAGUAAUGGAUAGUUAGCCAAUAAGUUGUUUCUUGCUUGCAGGGACUGACUGAUUCGGUUGACUUUGAGGUUACUGGUGACAUUCCAGUACAAGGGCGUCAGCAGUGUCAGUGUCAGCCACCUGUCUGACCCGCCUUGAAACACGGACCAAGGAGUCUAACAUAUGCGCGAGUUACUGGGUGGAAAACCCAAAGGCGCAAUAAAAGUAAAGGCUGUUUUAGAAUGGCUAAGAUACGAUCCUGGUUGUCUAAGGACUCCAGGCGCAGUAUCGUCCCAUCUCAACCGCAUAUCGGUAGGGCGGAGACAGAGCGUACAUGUUGGGACCCAAAAGAUGGUGAACUAUGCCUGAGUAGAGUGAAGCCAGAGGAAACUCUGGUGGAAGUUCGUAGCAGUUCUGAUGUGCAAAUCGAUCGUCAAACUUGGGUAU